UACGUAGGGGGCAAGCGUUGUCCGGAAUCAUUGGGCGUAAAGAGCGUGUAGGCGGCCCGAUAAGUCCGCUGUGAAAGUCCAGGGCUCAACCCUGGGAUGCCGGUGGAUACUGUCGGGCUCGAGUCCGGAAGAGGAGUGUGGAAUUCCUGGUGUAGCGGUGAAAUGCGCAGAUAUCAGGAGGAACACCAAUGGCGAAGGCAGCACUCUGGGACGUGACUGACGCUGAGACGCGAAAGCCAGGGGAGCAAACGGG
rnacentral:rRNA from 1 species